rnacentral:lncRNA from 1 species
UGAAGGGUAAGAAAUACCUGCUUCUUUUGGAUGAUGUAUGGAAUGAAGAUGCUCAAAAAUGGUUGUUGUUGAAGCCUUCGUUAUCAAAAGGUGCUGAUGGAAGUAAGAUUAUAGUAACUACCCGUAUUAAACGUGUUGCUGAGAUUAUGGGUACUGUUACUGCGUACUACCUAAGUCUUCUUGGUCAGGAGGCCUGUCUGUCGUUGUUUUACAAGUGUGCAUUCAAGGAAGGGCAAAUGGAGUUGUAUCCAAAUUUGGUUGGAAUUGGGAAAGAAAUAGUGGCAAAAUGCAAGCAAGUUCCUCUGGCAGUGAUUAACUUGGGGACUCAACUGUAUGGUAAAACUGAUGAAAAGGAGUGGGAAUCGGUGAGAGACAGUGAGAAGUGGGAAGAAGAGGGAGAUCGUAUUUUACCUGCCUUGAAAAUAAGUUAUCAAAGACUGCCGACACACCUGAAAAGAUGCUUUCUUUAUUGCUCCGUUUUUCCAAAAGAUUACCCAUUCUAUGAUAUCUCAUUGGUGCAUUUUUGGAUGGCACAAGGGCUCAUUCUCCCAUCAUCAAAUCCAAAUGAGAAACUGGAAGAUGUUGGCUUGCGUUAUGUGCGCGAGUUGAUGUCAAGAUGUUUCUUCCAAGAUUAUGAGGAUUGGGAUUAUGUUGCUUUCUUUAAAAUGCAUGAUUUAAUGCAUGAUCUUGCAUUAUCAUUGUCACAAAGUGAGUGUUCGAUCAUAGGCUCUCAAAACCAUCAAAUUUCCAAAACGACCCGUCAUUUGUCAGUUCUUGACUCUGAUUCAUUUUUUCAUAAAACUCUCCCCAAGUUUUCAAAUGAGUUCCACCAUGUGCGGUCAAUAGUCUUUGUAGAUAGUAUAAUGGGGCCUACAUGCAAAGCAGAUUUUAAGAAAUGUUUGUCAGAAUUUAAGCACUUGCGAUGUUUGGAAUUAAUGGAUGAUUCUGAAUUUGAGGUUUUCCCGGAGAGGAUCGGGGCGUUGAAACAUUUGAGAUAUCUCAAGUAUAGGUCCAACGCAAACAUGAAAAGACACCCAAAAUCUCUUUUCAAAUUACAAAAUUUGCAAGCUCUGGUUACAGGUUUUGGAUUAGAAGAGCUGCCCAAAGAUGUGAGGUACAUGAUCAGCCUUAAAUUUUUAAGUCUAGCUACUCAGCUGAAGCGGUUGCCAGAAAAAGGGAUUGGGUGUUUGGAGUGUCUUCAAACUUUAUUCAUUGUUGGUUGUGAAAAUCUAGAAAAUUUGUGCGAAGAUAUGGAAGGUCUUAAAAGUCUUCGGAAAUUGCUUAUUAGUAGCUGUGAAAGCUUGAUUUCUUUGCCACGAAGUAUCAAAUGCCUAACUACUCUUGAAGGAUUUUUUAUUAAUAACUGUAAAAAGCUUGAUUUAAUGACAAUAGAAGAAGAGAAAGAGAAAAAAAUUCAACCUCUUUUUCUUUCCCUUCGUAUUGUACUAUUUGCCAGCUUACCAGCAACUCUUGCUUUACCAGAACAGUUUCUUCAAGGAUCUGCAGAAUCUUUACAAACACUUAUCAUCACAGACUGUCCAAACAUUAGAGAAAUGCCAGAUUGCAUCGACAAUUUAAAGAAACUUCAAAAUCUUGAGGUCAUUGAUUGUCCAAGUUUGAGCAAAAGGUGCCAAAAGGGAACAGGAGAAGAUUGGCCCAAGAUCGCACAUAUCCCUAAAAUCAAGGUUGAUGAUGAUGACAGUGGUGAAGAAACAUCUGGUUAGGUACGAGUGAUGAAUAUUUAUAUCUAUCAUAGUUAGUUUCACUUCUUUAUCCAUUCUUCAAUUCCAUUUUUUUCCUUUUAAAUUCUUUUCAACGUUUAUUUGACAAAAACCUCUUGUGUUUUGGAGGGGCAGGUUCAAGUGGAACUCCAUCAAAUUUAACCCGAGCAAAAGAACAAGACAAGGCAUGUCGCAUGAUAAAAUGCAAAGUUAACUAAUUCAUUCAGCAAUUUAAAUUUCUUUGAACUCAAUACAUCAUUUUUAAAUUCUAUGUUUGUCUAAUUUCUUCAGGUUUACUACUGUGAGGGUCCUGUCGGCUAAGAUCUUCCAACAACAGUUUGUCACUUACGAAGAUCAGCUUAAGGCUCGGAGUGUCUGCUUUGUGUAAUUUCCUUGCCUAGCUGUGUGUGAUGAUUUGUCAUUGAUAAAUUGAUAAACAUUUUGUUGUUCUGAAUUAUCUUAUUUAAAAUAUUGUGUGUGAUCAUUUAAAUAAUUAUGCUUAACAUAUAAAUUCAUCCUUCUAAACAAACUAAAAACUGGAGUUGGGAGGACAAGGAGCAAGCUAUUUGUCUCUAAUAAUACAACAGUCAUCAAGAAAAAGAAAAUUGCUACCUAAUUAAGUUCAUGACUGACUUAUAUAUUUAGCUUAUUAAUUUUGAUUGAGUAGAGAUCUAGUUUAAUAAUUUUUUUUGUUGUAUAAAUAGUUGUAUAAACUUUUUAAAUUCUAUUUGAGAUUUUUUUAUGUAUAAAAACUGGUAAAAUUCUGCAAAUACACUUUUUUUAAAAAAAUAAAAAUUUGUUGAGGGUCAAAUAGCUAGAAAAGAUAUUCUUUCAUCUCUUGUGUACUUCUGCUUCUUUCCCACCCUUCUCCAAUAUUAAUGAAUCCAAACAACACGCGUGAAUCUAUUCUUUAUUUUUAAUGGGCUCGAACAUCUUGUUUAAGUCCAACACUGAUCAGAAAAUUUUUCUAGAACACCAUAUGGAUCCCUCAGUAUUUUUCAUUAAUUCUAUACAUAUUAUUUUAAAUAUAAUACAACUCAAAAUAUUAAAAUUAUAAAGUUACACUUUAAUCUUUUAUCUUCAUAAAAACACAAGAUUUAUAUGCUAUCAAUAUAUCUUCAAUCCUUUAUUUGAGGUGAAGUGUUUGAACUUUGAUCACUCAAACUCAUUAUUAAUUUAAUCACACAUCAAAUCUACAGUUAUAGAUGCUAUAAACGAUUAGCUAAAUACUAUUGAAAAACAAAGUUAUCUAUUUAGGAGUUUAACGAGAAUAUUAUUAUAUAAAUAUAAAUUUUUGUUCUCUAAGCUCACACUAUAAAAAUAUAGACUUUUUUCCUACAUAAAUAUACUAUUAAAUCUUGAAUCUUCAAAAAACAAUUUCGUGAUUGCUUUUCAUCAAUAGCUGGUUGUAUAUUUUUAUUUUAUUUUUUUUUCUUAUAAGAUAUAAAUGCAAAUUUCCUGAUUGUUUUUCACCAAUAGAAGGACUUUCUAUUAUAUUUUUAAAUCUAAUUUUAAACCUAAAUAAAAUUAAUUAGCAUCAUCACUAUCAUGAUUGAAAACUCUUGAGAAAGUACAUAAGAUAGGAUAGGUCAUGAUCAUCUUUGAUCAGAUGCCUCUCAGAGUAUGAGAGACACAUCACUUGUUUUUCUACGAGGAUUGUUUAUGCUACUGUGCUUACUGCUUAGGAAGUUCUAAGUAAACGAUAGAUUCUUAAAAAGAUUUGAUGACCAUCAUACAUUCGUUCCUUCAAAUCACCACAAAGUAAAGGAUAAUUUUUUUUUCUUUGUUUUUUUCUCCCUGGCCAUGCUCGAAGAAAAUAUUUUAGGCCUAGUUUAAUUUAAAGUAAAAUAAAUUUUAAAAAAUUAAAAUAUCUAAAACAUACAUAUAAAAUACAAAAAUAAACAAGUUAUUACUCCGCUGCGCAGCUGUAAUGCACUCAUAAUAAGAAAUUGAUUUGUAGGCAAUAAUUGAAAAAAAAACAACUGUUUGGUCUUUGCAAAAGUUAGGAAGUGCACCGGCUAAGCUCCUUUAAUGAAAUAGGUGCAUUUAGUAAAAGCACAUAAAUUCCACCAAAAAGAACUUUUAAAAUUAAAAUACAUUUCAAUCGUCAAAGAUAAGGGUACAUGCCAAAGACAAUAAUUCAAACACAUAUUCGAUAAUAGAUGGUUAUAAAAUUAAAUAUUAAUCUAAAAAUAAAUAUUUAUUUAAAACAAUUAUUUUAAAAAAACAAACAAAAAUAAAUAAUGCAAUCCAUUUCUUAACCAAUCCAAUAUUAAAUCAUAAAAUUAAGAAGAAAUAAAUUAAAAGACCAAAAACAAAAACAAAAUAUCAUAUCGGUGAGUAAACUUGUCAAACCUAUGAAUCGGGUAAGCCGGGCUAGGAUGUCAAACCUGUGAAUUGAGUUAUGGACUCCACGAGGAUUAUAAAAAAAAUUAUAAUCUAUUUUUUAUUUAACUAUACAAAUAACAAAAAUAAAGGAUUAUAAAAUCAAACACAAUCCCAAUACUGAGAUGUUUUUUAGAUUACGAUAAUCUCAUAAAAGGUAAAAUGAAACCAAUUAAGAAACUAAAUUCCCAAUUAAUUUAGUAUCUAAGGAUGGAAAAAAAACUAAUUUAAAAAAGUUAAACUUGCUAGACCCGCAAUCAAGUCAAUCAACCAAAUUUGUGAAUUGACCCACGGAUUUUAUAAAGUUUAAUAAUAUAACUUUUUUCUGAAACUUUUUUUUUAACUAUAUGAGAAGAAAAUAGACGAUAAAAAAAUUUAAGUUCAAUUAAAAAAAGACACUACACUAAACUCGUAAAUCAGGGCAACCAGGGUUACCCUAGCAAACCCGCAAACUAUGCUAACCUUAUAAAAAGGUAAAAUAAAAAGAAACAAAUUAUGAAGCCAAAUUCUUAAGCAUCUCAAUAUUAAAAGAUAAAAUCGACAAAAAUAAAUUUGAAAAAACAAUCAUGACACAAAUUCAAAAACAUAAAGAAAAAAAGCAAAACACCGUAGGUUACUAUUGUCAUUUACAGUGCAAUGCGUGUGGGUGAACAAUGGUUUCCUCACACCCUUUAAUUUUUGUUACUUUAUAAAAUUUAAUAAUAUGAUUUUUCUCUAAGACUAUUUUUUAACCAUACGAGAAAAAAAUAGACUAUAAAAAAGGUUAAAUUCAAUUAAAAAAAAGGCAACUCAUCAAACUUGUAAACCAGACUAACCUAAUUUACUUUAACAACCCCGCAAACCACAUUAAUCUCAUAUAAAAAAAUAAAAAGAAGCAAAUUACGAAGCUAAAUUCUUUAUAAUGUUAAUUUAAAAGAUGAAAUCAACAAAAAUAGAUUUGAAAAAAAAAUCAUAACAAAAAUUUAAAAAAACACACACAAAAAAAAGUAAAACAUUGUGGAUUACUAUUGUAAUUCACAGUGCAAUUGGGAGAACAGUGUUUUCCCUCAUAUCAUUUAAUUUUUGUUAUUUCAUAAAGUUUAAUAACAUAGUUUUUCUCUAGAACUAUUUUUUUUACAAUAUGAGAAAAAAUAGAAUAAAAAAAUCAAGUUCAAUUAAAAACCCACCAAAUAUAUAAACUGAGACAAUCUUUGCUAUUUCGAUAAACCAACAAACCAUGCUAACCUCAUAGAUAGAAAAAAUAAAAUGAAAAAAAAAUUUUUGACCAGGCUUUUUUUCAUAUGUAGGCUUCCAAAAGUUUUUUUUUUUCAAACAAAGUUAAUGGGUUUUGAAUUAAAUCAAGUCAAAUUACUCUUAUUUUUUUUUUAAUCUCGACCUGUCCAGGCUCCUAAUUAGUUAAAUUUCAGGAUGACUUGUCAAGCGAGUUCAUAUUUUAAAACUAUACUUUUAAGUUUUAACAUAUGAUAUCAAACCCGUGUUUCUUUGGCUCUUCCUCCACCAUAACAGCCUUCAUACUAUCCUGCUCAACAAGUCUCCAAGCAGCUUGCUCAAAAGCCAAUCCAGCCAUGUUGGCGGCUUAUUCACACAAGCGGAUACCCUCUAUCAGUACACUCCUAAUCACCUCCGUAUCCUCCGGAAUCACACCCAACAAUGCCAACCCCAGCAUUUCCUUGCACAUCCAGCACCGACAUCAUAUCUGCAUCGCGCUAGCUAGUAAUGUUAGGAGUUGUUACCAGAACAGCCACCUUUGCCUAAUGAGUCCUACAUUGGAAGUUGUGGUGAUUUUUCCAACACCACCUUUUCCGGAUGUUAUAACGAAAACUCUUGGGGCUUCGCCGGCUAGUUCAGGCUUUCUGUUCCUUUGUAGGACUGAUUGGAUUGAGGGCUAGUUCAGGCUUUCUGUUCCAUUGCAGGACUGAUUGGAUUGAGGGGUUUGAGUGAGGUUUGAAGGGCUUUGUUAGCGUUUGGGUUUUGGGUUUGAAUGGGGUUAGGGAAUGGAGGAAAGAAAGGCUUUGUGGUUGUGGGUAAGGGUUUUAGUGUCAGCAUUGUUUGCUAAGUGUAUGUGUUUUUGUCUCUGAGCAAGUGAGAAUAAGAGAGGACGGUUGGUUUUGGAGUUGAGACUUGAGAUUGAUCUAAAAAAAAAGUAAAAUUAAAUUUUAAUUUUUUAAAAUAUAAAAACAAACGGUGUCCUAUCCAAUUAGGAAACAAAGGAGCAAGUAGAUUCAGCCUUUUGGGGUUAAUUUAGUUUCACAUCCUUGAACUUUUAUGUUUUUUCUAAUGCGUCACUCUGUAGAAUAAUUGUUUUAAUAUAACCCUCCUCCUAAACCUAUACCCUUUGAUACUUAAUCGGGCCCUUCUGUCCAAUUUUAGGCAUUUAAUGUACAUUAUUAGGUGAGAGAAAUAGUCAUGUUAACUUUUAACCAUGUAAAACCGGAACCAAGAUAGGAAUAAAAAGAGUCAAUUCAAUUUUUUUAAACAUCAAAACAAUAUAGUUUUGAUUAAAAACUUUUUUUUUUCAAAACAAAAUUACUUAGUUGAGAGCUAAUUUUAAUUAGGUUUUACAUUAUGUCAAUCAAAUAGCAAGUCAAUGUGAGUUUUCGACUAGAUCAAGUUGAGUUAUUCUAAUUUUUUUUUAAUCCUAACUAGUUUAGGCUUCUAAUCAAUUAAGUUUCUAGUUAUCUUGUCGACCGCGUCUAGGUUUUAGAACUAUGCUCUUAACAUAUGAUAUUGAAUACAAGUAAUUGAUUGAGUUAUGGAAGUUAGGAUUGAGGAGGGUUUCAUUAUGAAAAUUAAUUGAUGGAGGGUCAUAUAAAAAGAACAGAAAGAAGGGAAACACAAGCUAAUUAAUUUGAGAUUGGGAAAUUGUACAAGUUGUGGGAUUUUUUUUGGUUAAGUAGAUGAUGAGUUCCAUGUGUGAAGCUUAAGCACAGUUAUUUUGGGUCUAUCUGGGUGGUGUGUAGGUGAACUUUAUUCCUCAAGUCUCCACAGCUCGAGAGCAAGAAUAAUGCCAAACUUGUGUAGCAUUUGAUUUCAAGUGUUUAUUGCUUGUUUUUACAACUUCAUAAUGUUCAUAGUGCUAAGGCUUGAGCUCAAUUGUUCAUUGGAAGUUAAGCCCAAUAUAAAGGUAAGGCCAUGAGUUAAAGAGUCGAUAUCGAGUUUGCUCAAUUUUGUAUUAAAAAAAUUAUCUUAAUUUAUUUUUUAAAAUUAAACUAGAGAGCAAAAUUAGACUGUUCAAAUCAAUUUUACUUUUAUUGAAAUUGUAUAAUUUCAAAUAGGUCCAACAUAAAGUUUGACUCUUUAAAAUUUUGUAUGUUAGAAAACAAAUGGGUUGUUUUGUUCAAUUUGAAUAUAUAUAUAUAGUCUUAUCUUUUUUUAGUUUGUUUAUUAAUUUUUGGUUUUUUAUUUUCAAAAUCUAAAAAUGAACAAAAUUAUUUUUAAAUUAGUUUUCUUGGUUGGAAUUCUCUGAUUGAUUAUCUCAGUUAAUUUUAGAUUAAUUUUUAUGAAUGUUCUAAAUAAUUUGAUUAUAUUUCUCACCCUCACAUUGAAUUAAUAAUGCAAUAAUAACAACCAUCUAGGUGGUAGUUCAGUGGUAAGAGCUUGGAACCAAGAGGUUUGCUCCUUCUGUGAUCUCAGGUUCGAGCCCUGUGGUUGCUCAUAUGAUGACAUUAGUGCAAUUAGGAGAACAAUGGUUUCUCUUGUAUCCUUUAAUUUUUGUUAUUUCAUAAAGUUUAAUGAAAACUAUUUUUUUAACAAUAUAAAAAAUAUAUAAUAAAAAAAUCAAGUUCGAUUAAAAACCCACCAAAUCUAUAAACUGAGAUAACAUGUGUUGUCUCGAUAAACCCGCAAACUAUACUAACCUCAUGAUAGAAAAAAUAAAAGGAAAAAAAAUUAUAAAAUUAAAUUUUCAACCAUCUCAAUAUUAAAAAAUAAAAUCAACAAAAAUAUUUUAAAAAAAAACAAAAAAUAUGAAAAAAAAACCAUAUAUAUAAAAAAACCAACGUAAAAAAACAUUGUAACAGUACAAUACUUUUCCCAUGUCCUUUAGGUUUUCUUUGUAAUAAUGGGUGACUCUGUACAUUUACUUGUAUAAAAGCAAAGGGACCCUCGCAGGUCCAUGUGUUUCAUGUUUGAAAGUAAGUUACCAAAGACUGCCGACACCCUUGAAAAGAUGCUUUCUUUAUUGUUACAUUUUUUCAAGAGAUUAUCAGUUAUAGGAUGUUAAAAAUAUUUUUUAUAAAAUAAAAAAAUAUAUCAUUUUAAUUUACUUUGAACUAAAAAAGAUAUUUUAAAAAAUAAUUACUCCUCUUCUCCUAGUUCAUACAAUUUUGGAUGGCACAUGCAUUCAAUCAUCGAAUCCAAAUGAUAACUUGGAAGAUGCUGGCAUGUGUUAUAUGCGCGAGUUGAUCUCAAGAUGUUUCUUCCAAGAUUAUGAUGAUUUACCUUUUUUUCUCAAGCUUUAAAAUGCGCGAUCUUGCAUUAUCAUUGGCUCAAAAUAAGUGUUCUUGACUCCAUUUCAUUUUUUCAUCAAACUAAUCCAAAGUCCCCAAAUGAGUUCGAGCAUGUGUGGUCAAUAUUCCAUGGGAGAAGCUACAACACAAUUGCACUACUUGUAAAUUUAUUCCUUUUGACUUUUCAUCCCUUAAUUUUAUGAUCAAGAAGACUCAAUGACUUCUCCUCUCCACUCAGAAAGCGGAACUCCACUCUUAUCUCAAUCAUUUCUUCCUAUCAAACACUUCUCCCCUCACUCAUAAAGAAAAUGGCAGAUGCUUUUACAGCCGAGAUUGCAAAAUCCCUUCUAGGGAAAUUAGGCUCCUUUUCUGUUCAAGAAUUUUGUUUGGCAUGGGGACUUGAAGCUGACGUUGCUCGUCUUGAAAAGAGAUUGUCAGCCAUCACCGCAGUGCUGUCCGAUGCUGAGCAGAAACAAUCAAAGAAUGACAAGAUUCGGUUCUGGCUCAACGAUCUCAGAGAAGUCUUGUAUGAUGCCGAGGACGUGCUGGACGAAAUCGAGUGCGAAACUUUGCGAAGGCAGUUGGUGAAAACAACAGGGAGCACCAGCAGAAAGGUACGGCGCUUCUUUUCAAGCUCUAAUAAGAUUGCAUUCCGUUUAAGAAUGGGUCAUAAGAUAAAGAGCAUCAUAGAAAGACUAACUGAGAUUUCAUCUCUUGAGUCUGAGUUCCACCUCAGCGAGGAGGCUAUUGAUCGUAGCCAUGUCUUGCAUGAGGAAACAGAGAUGAACCGAUCCUUUGAGAGCUUUUCCGGUCUUAUCGGAAGAGAUGAAGACAAAGAACGCAUCAUCAACCUUUUAGUAGCACCUUUUAAGGUUGUUGAUGCACAUCCCCUUGUCCUUCCGAUUGUAGGAAUGGGAGGCUUGGGGAAGACAUCUCUUGCCAAAUCGGUGUGUGAUGCUGAAAAUGUAAAAAGUCAUUUUGAACUGAAGAUGGGGGCAUGUGUUUCAGAUGAUUUUUCCUUGAAACAAGUGAUACAAAAAAUUAUUAAAUCUGCAACUGGGGAAAGAUGUGCGGAUUUGAAUGAGGGUGAGCUUAAUAAAAAACUUGAAGAUAUUAUGAAGGGUAAGAAAUACCUGCUUCUUUUGGAUGAUGUAUGGAAUGAAGAUGCUCAAAAAUGGUUGUUGUUGAAGCCUUUGUUAUCAAAAGGUGCUGAUGGAAGUAAGAUUAUAGUGACUACCCGUAGUCAACGUGUUGCUGAGAUUAUGGGUACUGUUGCUGCGUACAACCUAAGUCUUCUCGGUCAAGAGGACUGUCUGUCGUUGUUUUACAAGUGUGCAUUCAAGGAAGGGAAAAUGGAGUUGAAUCCAAAUUUGGUUGGAAUUCGGAAAGAAAUAGUGGAGAAAUGCAAGCAAGUUUCUCUGGCAGUGAUUAAUUAACUUGGGGACUCAACUGUAUGGUAGGACUGAUGAAAAAGAGUGGGAAUCGGUGAGAGAUAGUGAGAAGUGGGAAGAAGAGGGAGAUGGCAUUUUACCUGCCUUGAAAAUAAGUUAUCAAAGACUGCCGACACACCUGAAAAGAUGCUUUCUUUAUUGCUCCGUUUUCCCAAAAGAUUACCCAUUCUUUGAUAUCUCAUUGGUGCAUUUUUGGAUGGCACAGGGCUCAUUCUCCCAUCAUCAAAUCCAAAUGAGAAAUUGGAAGAUGUUGGCUUGCGUUAUGUGCGCCAGUUGAUCUCAAGAUGUUUCUUCCAAGAUUAUGAGGAUAUGAUUGUUGGAGCUAACUUUAAGAUGCAUGAUUUAAUGCAUGAUCUUGCAUCAUCAUUGGCUCAAAAUGAGUUUUCAAUCAUAAGCUCUUAAAACCAUUAAAUUUCCAAAACGACCCGUCAUUUGUCAGUUCUUGUCUCUGAUUUAUUUUUUCAUAAAACUCUUCCCAACUUCCAUCAAGUGCGGUCAAUAAUUUAAAUUUAUUUGAACUUAAAACAUCAUUAUUAAAUUUUAUAUUUGUCUAAUUUUAUCUUUAGGUUUAAUGUGAGGAUCCUUCGGCUAAGAUCUUUUACAACAGUUUAUCACUUACGAAAAUCAGCUUAAUGCUCGGAGUGUCUGCUGUGUGUGAUGAUUUGUCAUUGAUAAAUUGAUAAACAUUUGGUUUUUUUAAAUUAUUGGCUUGCCUCUUUAUCUUAUUUAAAAUAUUGUGUGUGAUGAUUUAAAUAAUUAUGCUUAACAAAUAAAAUAUUGCGUGUCAUAUAAUUCUACUUGUUUUGUCCAUGGCCCAAACACUACUAGGCUCAUGUCUUAUUUAAAGUUUAUAAUUUUUUUUAUUUUUUUGGGUUGCGGUAUAACUUAUUUUUUAUUAAAUUUUAAUUUUUUUAAAAUUUUAAUAUAUUUAUGCAAAAAUAUCUAACACACUCCAAAACCAUUCCUUAAUCCCAUUUUUACAAACACUACUGGGCUAAUGACUUAUUAAAAGUUUAUAAUUUUUUAGAUUUUUUUCUUUUUCUGUUAAACCCAUUUUUCAUCCAUUUUAAAAAUUUCUCCAGUACACACCUUCCUUCGCUAUUCUUGCGCAAUCUCCACCGUCGGUAAAAACCUCCCCUCUCUCUUUCUCUAAGCUAAUUACUUAACCAUGUUUUAAUCAUUUUCACUUUUGCUGACAGAUUGCAUGAACCGUCGCGGAUUAAAAAUUCUCUCUCAGAACCCAUCAGUAAACUCUGAUUCUAACUAUCAGAAAUCACUCGAAGUAAAUGAAGUUACUUUUAUUAUUAUUAUUUUUAAUUUAUGUGUUAAUUUGUGAUUUAGUGAAUAAGUUAAAGUUUUGAUUUUGAGUGAAUUUAAUUAAUUAAAUCGGCAAAGAGGGUAUUGAAAUCAUGUAGAAAAUGAAGGAUUUUAUGUGAAAGCUAGGCAAUUUUUUUUUAUUUGCUUGUGCACGUUUGUGUAUUUUCAAUUUUGAAGAAUUUAUGUCUGUUUCGUAGGCUAAUUUUUUGGAUUAGGUAUAAUGUAGGCAGUUCCUAGUAGUUUCAACGAUGUAAAAUAAGUUCUUGAAAUUAAGCAAUUUGGGUUGAUGUUUAACGGAGAUUUGUGUUUCGGUUCUGUAUUUUCUUUGUUUUUCUUUUCUUAGAUGUUGAAGGUGAAAAUGUUUUGUUGAAUUAUGGAAUUUUUUUUUAUGUAAAUGACAGCUGCUUCGUCAAUUGCCCAGCUGAUGUUUAACGGGCAUCUUGCAAUGUUGAGAGAUUGUCAAGCAGUAGCAGUCAAGGUUGGUUGGUGCGGUGUCAGUCUAAGUUAGUCAACUUAUUAUUAUGGGCUGGGUUUUGUUAUAGCAACAAGAUGAUAUUUGUGAAUAAAUUAGGAAGUUUAAGAGUGUUUUGAACUGUUGAUGAUGCAAUGCAUUUAGGCUAUCGAUCCUUUCAUAACUUGUUUCAAAUUUUAUGUAUCUAUGUUGUUGAAUCUUUGCUUACCUUCCAAUAUUAUAGCUGCAUGUGACUGAAUGCCGGGAUUCUUCCUCUAUCUUUCCUGUAUCUGUUUUUAUUUCGCUUCGGAAAAGUAAACUUUUUGCCAUACAGUUUUAUAUUAGAUAUGAUAUUUCAGUGAUUUGAUUCUUUCAAUAAAGUCGACGAUUGCAUUAGGAGAAUCUCUGUGAUAUUCUCUGAUGAAUGUGAAACAUCCCCUUUCCAUACCUUCUUUAUAUAUGUUAGAAAAUUUUCUAGUUUUUAGAAACUUCAUGGAUGCUUGUGCUAGAUGACUUGAUAUAUUUCUGUUUCUUAUAUUUCUAUGUACAUAUUAUUAAAAUAAUUCUCAAAUUAAUCUCCCAUUGAAGUUAACCUAACUCUAAUUACAUCUUCAUUCUUCGGACAAUUAACGGAACUUAUCCUUGCAAACCAAGAGAGAAGGGAGGACUCAAGUUUGAUGGAUUCAUAAUGCCAAAGUAAACUUAGAACUCAACAUUUUGUCAUAAAAAUAGGGUUUUAGAUCUCUGUUAUAUUUAUCUACUCUACCUGAGGCAAGCAACACUCUUGCAAAUCGCUCUCCUCCUUGAACCUAUUGAACUCAGUUCUUUGAAAGCUUAUGCAGACAAUUGCUUCCUCCAGUAACCUUUUCUCAUUUUUUUCUGAUUUGUCAUUCUUAAAUCAAAUGUUCUUCUUGAAAUUUUCAGUCAUUGAGUUAGCCUUGUCUAUAAUGCAAAACUAAACAUGCAUGCUGUUUUUGCUACUGAGAGUUUAAAAACAUAAUUAAAUCUGUAUCUAAUCAGGUUGUGAUUGAAUGCCAACUGAAGUUUGAUUUUGUCCAUGAUUUUAUUCCUCUCCCCGACACAAUUAAAAUGAUAGGGUUAGGGUUAGGGUGCAGCUAUGCACAAAGCAUCAAUCCUCGUUUCGUUUCAACUUUCCAUUAUAUUUUCUAAUUUGCUCAAAAUCAAUCAUACUCCUCAAAUGGUUCCUCCCAUCUGCACAUUUCAUUUCUAUGACCAUAUAUGAUACAUUCAUUCCCUCAAUCUUUUCUUCGUGUUUUCACAAUAACCAAAAAUUAAUUAACAAUACAUCAUCACUAUAUGAUCUUCAGAAGGACAUGAUCAUCUCAGAUUCUGAGAGAGAGAUCACUUGCUUUUCUACAAAGGUUGUUUAUGCUAUUGUGCUUACUGCUUAGGAAGUUCCAAGUAAGGGAUAGAUUCUCAGGAAGAUUGUUUCCAAAGUAAGAGACAAAUGAAAGAAUAAGGGAAUGUCAUGAACAAAAAUUGCAGGCGUUUGUUUCGCCUUUACAUGCAUACUCAUAGCUAGAAAUCAAGAGGUUAAUUUGCCAUUCUGCAAACAUAACUUCACUUGCAUCUUAAUCAUUUUUCCUAUCAACCAAUUCUCCUCUCUCCACUCAAAAAGAAAAUGUCAGGAGCUUUAGCAUCCAGCAUUGCACAAUCCCUUCUAGGGAAGCUAGGCUCAUUUGCUGGUCAAGAAUUUUGUUUGGCAUGGGGACUUGAAGCUGACAUUGCUCGUCUUGAAAAGAGAUUGUCAGCCAUCACCGCAGUGCUGUCCGAUGCUGAGCAGAAACAAUCAAAGAAUGACAAGAUUCGGUUCUGGCUCAACGAUCUCAGAGAAGUCUUGUAUGAUGCCGAGGACGUGCUGGAUGAAAUCGAGUGCGAAACUUUGCGAAGGCAGGUGGUGAAAACAACAGGGAGCACCAGCAGAAAGGUACGGCGCUUCUUUUCAAGCUCUAAUAAGAUUGCAUUCCGUUUAAGAAUGGGUCAUAAGAUAAAGAGCAUCACAGAAAGACUAGCUACGAUUUCAGCUCUUAAGUCUGAGUUCAACCUCAGCGAGCAGCCUAUUGAUUGUGGUCAUGUUUUGCAAGAGGAAACAGAGAUGAACCGAUCCUUUGAGAGCUUUUCCGGUCUUAUCGGAAGAGAUGAAGACAAAGAAUGCCUCAUUAACCUUUUAGCAGAACCUUUUAAGGUAGGUGAUGCACAUCCUUAUGUCCUUCCGAUAGUAGGAAUGGGAGGCUUGGGGAAGACAUCUCUUGCCAAAUCGGUGUAUGAUGCUGAAAAUGUAAAAAGUCAUUUUGAUCUGAAGAUGGAGGUGUGUGUUUCAGAUGAUUUUUCCUUGAAACAAGUGAUACAAAAGAUUAUUAAAUCUGCAACUGGGGAAGGAUGUGUGGAUUCGGAUGAGCGUGAACUUAAAAAAAAACUUGGAGCGAUUCUGAAUGGUAGGAAAUACUUGCUUCUUUUGGAUGAUGUUUGGAAUGAAGAUGCUCAAAAAUGGAUGUUGUUGAAGCCUUUGUUAUCGAAAGGUGCUGCUGGAAGCAAGAUUAUAGUAACUACCCGUAGUCAACGUGUUGCUGAGAUUAUGGGUACUGUUACUGCAUACAACCCAAGUCUUCUAGGUCAAGAGGACUGUCUGUCGUUGUUUUGCAAGUGUGCAUUCAAGGAAGGGGAAAAGGAGUUGUAUCCAAAUUUGGUUGGAAUUGGGAAAGAAAUAUUGGCAAAAUGCAAGCAAGUUCCUUUGGCAGUGAUUAACUUGGGGACUCAACUGUAUGGUAAAACUGAUGAAACAGAGUGGAAAUCGGUGAGAGAUAGUGGGAAGUGGGAAGAAGAGGGAGAUGGCAUUUUACCUGCCUUGAAAAUAAGCUAUCAAAGACUGCCGACUCCCUUGAAAAGAUGCUUUCUUUAUUGUUCGGUUUUUCCAAAAGAUCACCCGUUCCUAGAUAUCUUAUUGGUGCAAUUUUGGAUGGCACAUGGGCUCAUUCUUCAAUCAUCAAAUCCAAAUGAGAACUUGGAAGAUGUUGGCUUGCGUUAUGUGCGCGAGUUGAUCUCAAGAUGUUUCUUCCAAGAUUAUGAGGAUAAGAUGUUUGGAGCUACCUUUAAGAUGCAUGAUUUAAUGCAUGAUCUUGCAUCAUCAUUGGCUCAAAAUGAGUUUUCAAUCAUAAGCUCUCAAAACCACCAAAUUUCCAAAACGACCCGUCAUUUAUCAGUUCUUGACUCUGAUUCAUUUUUUCAUAAAACUCUCCCCAAGUUUCCAAACAACUUCCAUCAAGUGCGGUCACUAGUCUUUGCAGAUAGUAUAGUGGGGCCUACAUGCAAAACAGACUUUGAGAAAUGUUUGUUAGAAUUUAAGCAUUUGCGGUCUUUGGAAUUAAUGGAUGAUUUUGAAUUUGAGACUUUUCCGGAGAGGAUUGGCGCCUUGAAACAUUUGAGAUAUCUCGGUUUUGGCUGGAACACAGAAAUGGAAAGACUCCCAAAAUCUCUUUUCAAAUUACAAAAUUUGCAAGCUCUGGUUACACCAGGUGAAGGAUUAGAAGAGCUGCCCAAAGAUGUAAGGUACUUGAUCAGCCUUAGGUUUUUACUUCUAGUUACUAAGCAGAAGCGGUUGCCAGAAGGUGGGAUUGGGUGCUUGAAAUUUCUUCGAACUUUACUCAUUGUUCGGUGUGAAAAUCUUGAAAAUUUGUGCGAAGAUAUGCAAGGUCUUAGAAGUCUUCGGAAAUUGGUUAUUUAUGAAUGUAAUAGCUUGAUUUCUCUGCCACUAAGCAUAAAAUGCCUAACUACUCUAGAAGAAUUUUGUAUUAAUGGCUGUGAAAAGCUUGAUUUGAUGACAAUAGAAGAAAAGGAGGAAAAAGUUCAACCUCUUUCUCUUUCUCUUCGUAUUGUAAUAUUUGAAGAGUUACCAACAACUUUUGCUUUACCAGAACAACUUCUUCAAGGAUCUGCAGAAUCCUUACAAACAUUCAUCAUCAUAGAGUGUUCAAACAUUAGAGAAAUGCCAGAUUGCAUCGGCAAUUUAAAGAAACUUCAAAAUCUUGAGAUCAGUGAUUGUCCAAGUUUGAGCAAAAGGUGCCGAAGGGGAACAGGAGAAGAUUGGCCCAAGAUCAAACAUAUCCCUAAAAUCGAGGUUGACAGUGAUGACAGUGAUGAGGAGAAUACAGGUAGCAGCAGCAAACCAUAUUUAAAUCUAUCAUAUUUAGUUUUACAUUUUUAUCCAUUCUUCAAAUAUUCCUUUUUUCGUUUAAAUUAUUUUCCCUGAAAACAAUAUUAGCUUUGAAAAAAAAAAACUGACAAAACCUCUUGUGUUUUGGAGAGGCAGGUUCAAGUGGAACUCCAUCAGCAAGAGAAGAAGACAAGGUAUGUCAUGAUAAAAUGCAAAAAGUUGACUAAUUCAUUCAGCAAUUUAAAUUUCUUUGAACUUAAUACAUCAUUUUUAAAUUCUAUGUUUGUCUAAUUUUUUUCAGCUUUCAUUGGGGUUUCUGCUGACGGUUAUAAUACGGGGACUUCAAUUUUUUCGGUGUUGUUGCUGACAAUCUAGUUUGUUCAAAUAAAGAUGAAGAGUGUUUAAUUUGCUGGAGAUUAAUAUUCGUUCUCUGUGUGCUUUGCUCGUAGUUCCUGCUGGUGAUGUACUUGGCUUUUCAUUUGUUCAUAAUGGUUGCCAAUCAGUUCAUUUGCUGGUCAUGGAAUUUGCUCCCUCGUUGUUGAACUUAAUACAUCGUUGCUGGUGAUGUGAGGGUCCUGUCGGCCAAGAUCUUCUAUGACAGUUAGUCUCUUGGUUAUUGGAGGAUGUGAUAGCUUGAUUUCUUUGCCACGAAGCAUAAAAUACCUAACUACUUUGGAAGAAUUUUAUAUUAUUGAUUGUGAAAAGCUUGAUUUGAUGAUAAUAAAAGAAAAAAAUCAACCUCCUUCCCUUCCUCUUCGUAUUGUAAUAUUUAGAAACUUACUAGCCACUCUUGCCAUACCAGAACAGCUUCUUCGAGGAUCUACAGAAUCCUUACAAACAUUUAUCAUUACGGACUGUCCAAACAUUGAAAAAAUGCCAGAGUGCAUCGGCAAUUUAAAGAAACUUCAAAAACUUGAGAUCACUCGUUGUCCAAGGUUGAGCAAAAGGUGCCAAGAGGGAAAAGGAGAAGAUUGGCAUAAGAUCAAACAUAUCUCUAAAAUCGUGUUAAAGGAAAGAUGAUUAUACGAUGUAAUUGAGAGUGAUCAUAGCUUCUAUAAUUGUCAAUCCUUUUAUUCUGUGUAAUUAUAGUAUGUAACCGUUAUUAGCUUAGCUGUAGGAUCUGCUGUUAAUAUCAGCUUGUUUAUAGGAAUUGCUUUCCUAUAAUAGCAUGUAGGUUCUGUAUAAAUCCUCACCUUGUAUACUGUUACAACACAUCAAUGAAAUAUACAUAUUCUCAAUUUAUUAUGGUAUCAGAGCACCGAUCUUGGUGACUCCUCCACCCUUCCGCAACCAUAUACACCAUAGAUAUUUCACAAACACCAUGACAGAACAGAGCAAUAACACCAAACCAGAUGGGAAUCCCGUGGAAAUCACAGACCCAUAUGCCAUACACAGUUCAGAUCAUACUGGACUCAUCCUGGCAACCAAACCACUUGAUGGAGAUAACUAUGGGCAAUGGAGCCGUGCCAUGUACAUGGGUCUCAGCGCAAGAAACAAGAUUGGAUUCAUUGAUGGGACCAUUAAAGCACCACCAAUACAGGAUCCGAAAUAUGCAGGCUGGAAAAGAUGCAACGAUAUGGUGACACUGUGGAUCAUAAACUCAGUUCACUCAGACAUUGCGAGCAGCAUUAUGUACACUGAAUCUGCUGAUGCAGUUUGGAACGACCUCAAGGAGAGAUUCUCACAAAGCAGCGACUCAAGGAUCUACCAGAUUCGACAAGAGAUUGUUGAAAAUCGUCAAGGGCAGCUCUCGGUGUCUUCUUAUUAUACCAAGAUGAAAGCCUUGUGGGACGAAUUAGCAUCAUACCAUGACCCACUCAUCUGCACUUGCGCAGGUUUAAAGGGACUGGCUGAAAGAGAUGAAAAGGAAAGAGUCAUGCAGUUCUUGAUGGGAUUAAAUGAAUCCUACUCAGCAAUACGAGGCUCGAUUCUGAUGAUGAGCCCACUCCCUGAUACACGGCGAGUCCAUGGUCUCAUUCUUCAACAUGAGAGGCAGAUGGACGUUGCCAACCGUCGAGACAUGGGAACGACACCACAUGCAAUGCAGGUACAACGAAAUCCAAUGCCACCAUCAUUCAACAGGAAGCCCUUCUACACACCAUCACGAAAACCACUUAAAUGUACCCACUGUGACGGAGAGGGACACUUAGUGGACCGAUGCUACUAUAUUAUUGGGUUCCCAGAAGGGCACAAAUGGCAUGGCAAACACGUGAAACCCAAGAAUAAGAGAUUCACAAUCAACAAUGUCAAGGCUAGCAGUUCUGCUGCAACCGAGAAACCUCACAUUUCUGAAGGUCCCAUGUUCACUACAGAGGAGUAUAAUCAAAUCAUUGCUAUGCUACGUAAUGGUAAUACACAAUCAAUUGAAAAUGCAACAGGUAUUUUUUCGCCCACAUGCAAUAUAGCACAAACAAGCCCGCAUUCAACUCUAUACUGGAUAGUUGACAGCGGAGCAACCGACCACAUAUCACACUCUCCACCAACACAUAACAUCCUUGAUGUUCAGUGUGACUCUGUUGGUUUGCCCGAUGGGGGGCAAGCAAAAAUAAAGAAUAUUGGCUCUAUAAAAUUAUCACAUGAACUAUCCCUUGAUAAAGUUCUUUAUGUACCAAAGUUUCGUGUCAAUUUAUUAUCCGUUAGCAAAUUGACAAGAGCUUUGCGAUGUAUAGUGAUAUUUUAUCCGAAUUUUUGUAUUGUGCAGGACAUGGAUACGAGGAGGACGAUUGGCCUGGGCAAGCAUUUUGAUGGGCUCUACUAUCUCACCCCAAAACAUAAUCCUCACCUCGCUAAUCAUAUCCACCGUACCUCUAGUCUUUGGCAUCAGCGUCUUGGACACCCAUCAGCCGCACCUUUACUUUCAUUAGCCAAACAUAAUGUUGAAAUAAUGUUUGAUUCAAAACACGUUUGUGAAGUUUGCCCUUUGGCAAAACAAACUCGUUUACCCUUUUCUCAUAGUGAAAUCAAAUCUUCUGCACCAUUCGAUUUAAUUCAUUGUGAUAUAUGGGGCCCCCAUAGAAAUCCAACACACACUGGGGCACGAUAUUUUCUCACUAUUGUAGAUGAUUUCACUCGUUUUACUUGGGUACAUCUUAUGAGUUUCAAAUCUGACACACAAACAAUUUUAAAAUCUUUUUUUUCUUGGGUCAAAACACAAUUUCAACAUGACAUUAAAACUCUUCGUGCGGACAAUGGUGGUGAAUUCCUCUCCAUUCGUCCUUUCCUAGACUCAUGUGGUACCCUUUUCCAACACUCUUGUCCAUACACUCCACAACAGAACGGGGUAGUUGAACGUAAACAUAGACACCUUUUGAAUGUUAGCCGUGCCCUUAAGUUCCAAGCCAAUUUACCCUUGAAAUUUUGGGGAGAAAGCCUCCAAACAGCCUGCUAUCUUAUCAACCGCCUACCUUCACCCCUCCUAUCUCAUAAAUCCCCAUAUGAACUCUUGCACAACACACCUCCCACCUACACACACUUGCGUGUUUUCGGAUGUCUUAGCUAUGCCACCAACCUCACACCUACCAAUAAGUUUGACGAACGUGCUCAUCGAUGUAUCUUUCUUGGUUAUCCUCUUGGUCAGAAAGGCUACAAAGUCUAUGAUCUAGCCUCACACAAAUUUUUUACAUCACGAGAUGUCAUCUUCCAUGAGCACAUCUUCCCUUAUGCCUCUUUAGCACCCGUGAACCACACUGACAUGGCCAUUACUCCCAACUCCAAUGACCACAUCAAUACCCAUGAAAUACUCCCUGCUCCACCCCCACAAGACAUCACCGAACCUUCCUCACCGGACCCACCUCCAUCACUCAACCUUGAGCCCGUCACUGACCUUCCCACCACAAUUGACACAAACCCACCUGUCAUACACGAUUCUCCCACAAUACCUCCAUCCUCUGUACCGACCCAUUCCCCCCCAAUUUCCCUUCGCCACUCUACCCGUCAUACUCGGCCACCUGCUCACUUCAAGGAUUAUGUGGCUCAUCAUUCUGUCUUGCUUCCACCCACAUCAACCUCCCCACAAUCUAUGUCCAGCACUCGCCAUCCACUGCAUCGGUAUGUCUCCUAUUCUUGCUUAUCCCCUGGUUAUCGCCGUUUUGUUUCUAACAUCUCCCAAAUAGUGGAGCCUACUACAUAUGCACAGGCUUGCCAGAAUCCCAAAUGGGUUGCAGCGAUGCAGGCUGAACUCACAGCCUUAGAAGCCAACCACACUUGGAGCCUUGUUCCCCUUCCACCGGGACAACGUCCCAUUGGCUGCAAAUGGGUCUUCAAGCUUAAGUAUCAUUCUGAUGGGACUCUUGAACGCUACAAGGCGCGCCUCGUUGCAAAAGGGUUCACUCAACGUGAGGGAAUCGAUUACAAGGAGACAUUUGCGCCAGUGGCUAAACUCCUUACCGUGCGCUGCCUGUUGACUAUAGCAGCUGUCCGCCAUUGGUCGUUACACCAAAUGGACGUCCAAAACGCCUUUCUCCAUGGUGCCCUUCAGGAGGAGGUCUAUAUGAUGCCUCCACCAGGUUGUCAUCGACAGGGGGAUAACAUUGUGUGUCGACUCCAUAAGUCAUUGUAUGGGCUUAAACAGGCAUCCAGAAGUUGGUUUCAAGAGUUCUCCUCAGCAAUACAAACUAUCGGGUUCUGCCAAUCUAAAGCAGAUUACUCCUUAUUCACCCAAGUCAAAGGUACAUCACUCACUAUUAUAUUGCUUUAUGUUGACGACAUGGUAAUUACAGGUAACAAUGAGGCAGAAAUCAAGAACCUGAAAGUCUUCCUUAGCAGCAAAUUUCGAAUUAAAGACCUCGGACCUUUGAAAUAUUUCCUAGGAGUCGAGGUCGCCCGAUCGAAAGCUGGAAUUACAAUUUGCCAAAGAAAAUAUACAUUGGACAUAUUGGAGGAAGCUGGGUUACUAGGUGCUAAGCCAAUGAAGGUCCCAAUGGAGGCUGAUUUGGUGCUAACACCCACAGGUAGCAGUUCACUCCAUGAACCGGCGAAGUAUCGACGCUUAGUCGGGAAAUUGAUCUACUUGACAAUCACAAGACCAGAAAUAGCGUACACUGUCAAUACGCUAAGUCAAUUCAUGCAAGAUCCACAACGACACCAUCUUGAUGCAGCGUAUCGACUUCUCCGAUACCUUAAAGGAGCUUCGGGUCAAGGUUUGAUGUUUUCCUCACAAAAUAAUUUACAUUUAAUUGGUUACUGUGAUGCAGAUUGGGCUCGUUGCCCCACCACACGCCGAUCCGUGACUGGUUAUUGUAUUUUCCUUGGAAAUUCAUUGGUGUCAUGGAAGAGCAAGAAACAGGUUACAGUAUCUCGCUCAUCCGCAGAAGCGGAGUAUCGAUCCAUGGCCGCAGUUACUUGUGAGUUAAGUUGGUUACGAUAUUUGUUGAAAGAUUUGCAUGUUGAUCAUCCCCAACCAGCAAGGUUGUUUUGUGACAACCAAGCUGCCUUACACAUAGCCGCAAAUCCUGUAUACCACGAACGCACAAAACACAUUGAGAUUGAUUGCCACACUGUUCGUGAGAAGAUUCAAAAGGGAGAAAUCAAAACUUCACAUGUCAGGACAGGGGAACAAGUUGCAGACUUAUUUACUAAACCACUGCGUGCACCCAUCUUCCAUACACAUCUAAGCAAGUUGAGCGUUAUUGACAUCCACACUCCAACUUGAGGAGGAGUGUUAAAGGAAAGAUGAUUAUACGAUGUAAUUGAGAGUGAUCAUAGCUUCUAUAAUUGUCAAUCCUUUUAUUCUGUGUAAUUAUAGUAUGUAACCGUUAUUAGCUUAGCUGUAGGAUCUGCUGUUAAUAUCAGCUUGUUUAUAGGAAUUGCUUUCCUAUAAUAGCAUGUAGGUUCUGUAUAAAUCCUCACCUUGUAUACUGUUACAACACAUCAAUGAAAUAUACAUAUUCUCAAUUUAGGUACUGUGCUUUCCUACAUAUGCACAGGUUGAUGAUGAUACCAGUGGUGAAGAAACAUCUCUUUAGGUACUGUUUACAAUGAUUUAAAUUUAUCAUAUUUAGUUUUACAUUUUUAUCCAUUCUUCAAUUCCUCUUUUUUUUUCGCUUAAAUUCUUUUCCCCGAAAACAAAAUGCAAUUGUUAUUUGACAAAAACCUUGUGUUUUCAAGGGGCAGGUUCAAGUGGAACUCCAUCAGAUUUAACCAGAGCAAAAGAACAAGACAAGGCAUGUCGUGGGUGUCAUGAUAAAAUGCAGAGUUGACUAAUUCAUUCAGCAAUUUAAAUUUCUUUGAACUUAAAACAUCAUUAUUAAAUUCUAUGUUUGUCUAAUUUCUUCAGGCUUUCUUCAGAUCAGCUAGUCACUUACGAAGAUCAACUUAAGGCUCGGAGUGUCUGCUUUGUGUAAUUUCCUUGGCUAGUUGUGUGUGAUGAUUUGUCAUUAAUAAAUUGAUAAACAUUUGGUUGUUCUGAAUUAAUGGCUUGCCUCUUUAUCAUAUUUGAAAUAUUGUGUGUAAUCAUUUCAAUAAUUAUGCUUAACAUAUAAAUUCGUCCUUCUACACAAACUAAAAAGCUGAAGUUGGGAGGAGAAGGAGCAAGCUACUUGUUUCUAAUAAUACAACAGUCAUCACGAAUUUCCAUCUUACUGCAAUGUCUCAUUCAUGAGUUUCAAAGAUCUUAACGAAGAGACAUCCAUUUCCGCACCCUUCAAGAACAUCUACCCUUUCUUUAUAUCUGAAUAAUGCAUGGGAACAUGCUGUUGCUCUAAUUAAACUCUAAAUUAAAGGUCUGCAUGACUAGCUAUCAUGCCGAGUAGAUUUUCUAUUCCAAAAAGAAAAUCACAGAAACUUCCCUUAGAGGCAGAAGUUUGCUGCUGCUACCUGCAUAUUGCAGCAUCCUGAUAUAUAGGUGUAGAGCCUGAAAGCUGCACUAUAAAUGUAAUCUGGUUCAGUCAUCGAUCGAGAAUCAGACUCCUUCCCUAACAAAUUCAUCUCUCCAAUACACGCCUUCCUUCGCUCUUCUUGCACAAUCUCCACCGUCGGUAAAAACCUCCCCUCGCUCUUUCUCUAAGCUAAUUACCUAACCAUGUUUUAAUCAUUUUCACUUUUGCUGACAGCUUGCAUCAACCGUCGCGGAUUACAAAUUCUCUCUUCAUAACCCACUGGUAAACUCUGAUUCCUACUAACAGAAAUUACCGUAGUUUUGAAACCCGAUCCGGCCUAGCGGGUUAAUCUGAAGCUGAAAUUGGACCGGCUUUAAAAAAAAUAGGAAAAGUAAAAAUUCAGGGUGACCCGACAACCCGGUAAGACCCAGUCAAAAACCCGGUUGUAACCCGUUGACUUUUUUUUAAAUCAAAACAACAUCAUUUUAAUUUUUUUAAAAAAAUUAACCCGGACGACCUGGUGACCCGAUCAAAACCCGGAACCCAGGUAUUGGACCUGGCCGAGUUUAAAAACUAUGGAAAUUACUCAAGGUAAAUGAAGUUAAUUUUAUUAUUAUUAUUUUUAAUUUAUGUGUUAAUUUGUGAUUUAGUGAAUAAAUUAAAGUUUUGAUUUUGACUGAAUCUAAUUAAUUAAAUCGGCAAAGAGGGUAUUGAAAUUAUGUAGAAAAUGAAGGAUUUUAUGUGAAAGCUGGGCAAUUAUUUUUUAUUUGCUUGUGCACGUUUGUUUAUUUUCGAUUUCGAAGAAUUUAUGUCUGUUUCGUAGGCUAAUUUUUUGGGUUAGGUAUAAUGAAGGCAGUUCCUAGUAGUUUCAACGAUAUAAAAUAAGUUCUUGAAAGCAAUUUGGGUUGAUGUUUAACGGAGAUUUAUGUUUCGGUUCUGUAUUUUCUUUGUUUUUCUUUUCUGAGAUGUUGAAGGUGAAAAUUUGUUGUUGAAUUAUGGAUUUUUUUUUUUAUGUAAAUGACAGCUGCUGCGUCGAUUGCCCAAGGGCAUCUUGCGAUGUUGAAAGAUCGUCAAGCAGUAGCAGUCAAGGUUGGUUGGUGCGGUGUCAGUUUUAGUUAGUCAAUUUAUUAUUAUGGUCUGGGUUUUGUAAUAGCAACAAGAUGAUUUUUGUGAAUUAAAUUAGGAAGUUUAAGAGAGUUUUGAACUGUUGAUGAUGCAAUGCAUUUAGGCUAUCGAUCCUUUCAUAACUUGUUUCAAAUUUUGUGUAUUUACGUUUGUUGAAUCUUUGCUUACCUUCCAAUAUUAUAUAGCUGCAUGUGACUGAAUGCCGGGAUUCUUCCUCUCUGUCUUUCCUUCAUCUGUUUUUAUUUCCCUUCCGAAAAGUAAACUUUUUGCCAUACAGUUUUAUAUUAGAUAUGUUGGAUCUUGCUUCCAAAUCCUAAUCUGCAUAGAAGAAGCUCGAUAUUUCAGUGAUUUGAUUCUUCCAAUAAAGUCGAUGAUUGCAUUAGGAGAAUCUCUAUGAUGUUCUCUGAUGAAUGUGAAACAUCCCCUUCCCAUACCUUCUUUAUAUAUGUUCGAAAAUUUUCUUGUUUUCAGAACUUCAUGGAUGCUUGUGAUAGAUGUACUUGAAAGUAACAUGCUUAUUUUUUUCUGCAUGUAGGUGCAGCACUACCCUGGGUUAGAAAUCCAGAUGAAGAUCGACAUAGCCAUUAUGUCACUUAUCCCAAAAUCUGUUGCAUGAGUAAGUGAUAACAUUAUCUUAACAAUUUUAAUUAUUUCUCUAUUGCAUUCUGUUGGCACCAUCUUUUUGUGAAGUUAGUUUGUGGAUGGUAAAUCACAUGAUUAUGCACAGAAAGAAGAACUAAUGCUGAUAAAAUUGCAGUAUAUGUUCUAGCCCUCUGACGUAAAAACCCUACAAAGGGAUGUUCUUUUUAGGAUAUGAUAACAUUCAACAGGUUUUGAAGAAUACAUGCGUCUUCUUUUUCUCAUUGGACAACAAUUUAUUCUCCUGAUUGUUUUUGUGCAUAUCUCAUGUGUUCCCUUUCUAAUUAAAUUGCCUUCUUUUGAUUUUGAUGAGUGAUCCACUGGCUUAGAGUUACGUUUUGCUCUUUUUGUCUUUCCACAACUUUUCCCUGAUUACAGAUUUAACUGGCUGAUAACAGAAUUCAGAGAGACUAUUUCUUCAGAACUUGGUCUGUGUAUUCCUUUGGUUAUUUUAUGUGUUCUUGAUCUCCUUGAUAGAUACAUGAAGAACUCGUGUAACUUCUUCAUUGCAUGCAUUCUCCAUAUUUCAAUUACUAUUAUUUCUUCAAGUGAUCAGAUACAUUGGAGAAAUUGCCAGCAACAAAGUGCAGAAGCGCAUGCAUUGUGAUGGGGGUGGCCAUUGAAGUCUUCUAAAUGAUGUAGAAUGGUACAGGGACUGGUGGUCUGGAGUCGUGUCAUUUUCUUGAUUCUCCGGUGCCUGUUUGAGAAGUUGCUACAGUAUAACACCAUCUAAGCAAUUCCAUAAUUAACCAGGGAACUGAGGUUUUAUGAUUCCUGGGUGUAUAAAAUUCUUACCUGACUGGGUUCUAACGAUAACUCUUAAUUCUCUCAUCACCACGCACCUGUUACUUGAAUUCCAUGCGCGACAGCACAUCCUCACAAAUAAUCGUUUUCUUUUUGCUCAUUUGCGUCCUUACUAAUUGUGCUUUUUAACAUUCCACAGCCCAUAAUCCCAUUUCAAGAUACCCGUAAAAAGACCAGAAGUGAAACUUGCUAUUAAGGAAAUAUUUUAGGACUAGUUCGGCCAUGGCCGAAAAACUACUAGCCCAUAGCCUAUUAAAACUCUUAAAAGUCCAUGAAUCCAAUAUCCCAGCAAAACCUUGAAGAACUCUCACCGUUACCUUUUUUAUACGGUUAUGUUACGUAGUAAAAAUAAUCAAAUAAAUUAAGAAUGUACUUAAUUUGUUAAACAACAUUUUCCCUUUUCAGCAGCUUGAAAUUUGGGUGGAAUUAUGGUUCCUUGAGAAGAGUAGUAAAAUUAAUGCUAUAAAUGAUUCAGAAAUGGAAGGACCAUAUAGAACCGUGUUCAUAAGAACUGGACUGUCAUAGUAGCAAGCGAGCUAAGACCGGUCCUCAAUUCCUAUAUAUAUAGAACUUCAAAGCAGUAUCUGCCUUAUUUGGCCCAUUGCACAGAAACAAAUAAGGAUUAAAUCGCAGCUGUAAUGCACUCUUAAAAGAAAUUGAUUUGUAGGCAAUAAGUAACUCACUACAAUACGAAAAAAACAACUGUUUGGUCUUCGCAAAAGUUAGGAAGUGCACCCAUAUUCUGCGAACCCAUCCGCAAACUAUUUUGAGUAAAAAAAAAUAAAAAGAUGAUUUUUUAAAGUGCACUGGCAAAGUGUAUUUAGGAAUUAUGUGAUUGUUUUUUAAAGUGUUUUUUAUUUAAAAAUAUUUUAAAAAAAUUUAUUUUUAACAUCAAUGCAUUAAAAUAAUCUAAAAAUUUCAAAACAAAAGUAUUAAUUCAAACACAUAUCAGAAAAUAAGGCAGUUUUUUUUUUCUGAUGUAGGGUAUUUUUAAAAAAACAAUUGAAAAUAUAUUUAAAUAAUAUUUUUAAAUAUUGUUUUUCUUUAUAUUUUCCCAUUAAAAUAUUUAUAAAAUACUAAAAAUAUUAUUUUGAUUUUUUUUUCAAAAAAUACUCAAAAUUUUGGAAAAACUAGUUGCAUUACUCUUAUCAACCAGGCUUUUUAUAAUUAUUUUCUUUCUCCAAAUUUUAUAUUCAAAACGAGUUAACUCGGUUGAUUCAGGUUUUUUUAAAUAUGUUAAAAUAAUAUUUUUAAAUACCCUUUUUUGUUAUAUUUACCAUUACAAUAUUUAUAAAAUAUUAAAUAUAUUGUUUUGAAUUGUUUUUUAAAAAAUAUUCAAAAUUUUGGAAAAACACUGCUCAAUUAUACUCAUUUCAAAAAAAUGAUGUUUUUUUAACUGAGUUGAUUCAGGUUUUUUUACUUAUUUUCUAUGAAAUUAUCUUAAUCUCCUAACUCAAGUAGCAAGUUUAAGAAGUUAAUUUAGGUUUAAUAUUCAUAAAUCCUAUUUUAUUGACAAAAGGCGUGAAGUUUUCUUUAAAUUAAUUAAUUAAAGAAAACAUAUUUUCAUAGAAGCAUGCACCCAGCAUGUGGUGGUGUCCACAUAGGGAAUAACAAUGGUCAAAUCCAACGGUAAAUACUCCAUCACCUAAAUAAAAAAAAAGUCUCUCUCCCCAGACAACUAGCAUCCCAAUCCCCACGUAGCCAAUUCAUAAUUCACAGCGACAAAUGCGUUUCAAAUGAUGUUUUAUUAAAAUUUAUUUUUUUUAUUUAAAAUUAUUUUUUUAUAUUAUAGAUGGAUCAAAUGGAUAUACAGAUAUACAGAUAUCUGUACAUUUAUAAAAGCAUAAGAGCAUGUUUGGUAUUAUAUAUAAAAAAAACUUUUUAUAUAAAAAUAAUAUUUUUUUAUUUUUUAAAAUUUAUUUUUGAUUAACAUAUUAAAAUGAUCUAAACUCUCCCCAAGUUUCCAAACAACUUCCAUCAAGUGCGGUCAAUAGUCUUUGCAGAUAGUAUAGUGGGGCCUACAUGCAAAACAGACUUUGAGAAAUGUUUGUUAGAAUUUAAGCAUUUGCGGUCUUUGAAAUUAAUGGACGAUUCUGGAUUUGAGGCUUUUCCGGAGAGGAUUGGCGCCUUGAAACAUUUGAGAUAUCUCCAUUUUUUGAACAACGCAAAAAUAAAAAGACUCCCAAAAUCUAUUUUCAAAUUGCAAAACUUGCAAGCUCUGGUUACAGGUGAAGGAUUAGAAGAGCUGCCCAAAGAUGUGAGGUACAUGAUCAGCCUUAGAUUUUUAUAUCUAGUUACUAAGCAGAAGCAGUUGCCAGAAGAAGGGAUUGGGUGUUUGGAGUGUCUUCAAACUUUAUUCAUUGCUGAUUGUGAAAAUCUAGAAAAUUUGUGCGAAGAUAUGCAAGGUCUUACAAGUCUUCGAAAAUUGGUUAUUGCUGGGUGUCCUCGCUUGAUUUCUCUGCCGAGUAGCAGAGAAAAAAAUUCAACCUCUUUCUCUUUCUCUUUGUAUUGUAAUAUUUGAAGAGUUACCAACAACUCUUGCUUUACCGGAACAGCUUCUUCAAGGAUCUGCAGAAUCCUUACAAACAUUAAUCAUCAGAGAUUGUUCAAACAUUAGAGAAAUGCCAGAUUGCAUCGGCAAUUUAAAGAAACUUCAAAAUCUUGAGAUCAGUGAUUGUCCAAGUUUGAGCAAAAAGUGUCGAAGGGGAACAGGAGAAGAUUGGCCCAAGAUCAAACAUAUCCCUAAAAUCGAGGUUGACGGUGAUGACAAUGAUGAAGAGACAUCUCAUGCAGGUAGCAGCAGCAAACCAUAUUUAAAUUUAUCAUAUUUAGUUUUACAUUUUUAUCCAUUCUUCAAUUUCUUUUUUCGUUUAAAUUAUUUUCCCUGAAAACAAUAUUAGCUUUGAAAAAAAAAAACUGACAAAAGCUCUUGUGUUUUGGAGAGGCAGGUUCAAGUGGAACUCCAUAAGCAAGAGAAGAAGACAAGGUAUGUCAUGAUAAAAUGCAAAGUUGACUAAUUCAUUCAGCAAUUUAAAUUUCUUUGAACUUAAUACAUCAUUAUUAAAUUCUAUGUUUGUCUAAUUUCUUCAGGUUUACUAAUGUGAGGGUCCUGUCGGCCAAGAUCUUCUACGACAGUUGGUCUCUUGCAAAGAUCAGCUGAAGGCUCGGAGUGUCUGCUUUGUGUAAUUUCCUUGGCUAGCUGUCUGUGAUAAUUUGUCAUUAAUAAAUUGAUAAACAUUUGGUUGUUCUGAAUUAUUUAAAUAAUUAUGCUAAUUGUUUCUGAUAAUACAACAGUCAUCAAGAAUCUCAAACUUACUGCAAUGUCUCAUUCAUGAGCUUCAAAGAUCUUAACGAAGAGACCUCCAAUAACAUAUUAAAAGUUUAUAAAUUUUUACACUCUGUAUUUCAUUAAAUUUUGAAAUUUCUUUGCUUAAAAUUAUUUAUUUUUUUAUUUUUUUAAUAUGUAACUUUUAAAAAUAAUUUUUAAAAAAUAAAAAAAAUAUUUUAAUAUAUUUUUAAAUAAAAAGACCUAACACCAUCUAAAACCACCCCUUGAUCCUAACUAAUUUUUGAAAAACAAACCUUCUAGCUUCCUUUAACCAGUAAAACCGAACUUUUAACUCUGGACUGGAUUGUGUAUUCAUUGAUAGUGUAUAUGGAUUUCUUUUAUAUAUAUAAAUCAAGUAUUCAACAUAUUCAUCCAAAUAUAAUAAUAAAAUCAACGAAUGUACACUUUUUGAAGACAUUUUCCCUACUUCGACAGGCUCAAUGAGAUUAUCGUUUCUAACUCUGGAGUGGAUUGUGUAUUCACUGAUAGUGUAUAUAGAUUUUUUUUAUAUAUAUAAAUCAAGUAUUCAACAUGAAUGUGCACUUUUUGAAGACAUAUUCCCUUAUAAAAGAUACAAGAAAUUCAUUCACAUACAAAAUCAAAGAAAAAUAGCUUAGGUGGUCUCAUCAAACUAUUGAUGAAAGAUCUAUACUCACCAUCUAAAAAUUCAUUCACUACUACUAGGUUAUAAAUAGAUCUUCAAGAGAAAAGUAAAAGCUAAUAGAACCAUCCAAAAAUACAAAGUAAGAUUUAUUGUAAAGGUUUCAAACAACAAAAAGAAAAAAAAAUUAUUUUGCUACAUAUUUAUCUAUGUUAAUAAUAAAUUUUAUAUGUACAUUAAUAGUUAUUACAAUUAUUAACAAGUUAGAAAUACAUCAAAUUUAUAAAAAAAAUAAUUUUUUUAAAUAACGAUUUUGACGGAGAGGUAUUUAUAAAACAAACUAAGAGGUUUGUUGUUAAAAAAAAAAGAUUUUAAACUUAUUAAGUUAUCUAGUUUGAAACAAAUUUUUAAAUAAUAGCAUGAAAAGUUUCACAAUGUUAUAUUUAAAAAAAUAUAUAUUUUAAGAAUUUUAAAAAAUAUUUUUUAAAAAUUUCAAGAAAACAAGAAAAAAAAUUACAAUAAAUGGAGGUCGAAAUUCAUUAAAUAAUUAAAAAUUCAAAAGCUAAAGAUGAAAUCGAAAAAAUAUAUCAAUAUUCAAGGACUAUAUAUAAUGCAAUCAGGGAUGAAAUUGAGAAAAAAUAAAGAAAGAAUGGUUGAAAUUUGCCAAAAAUGAAACAAUUAAACUUGGGGGACCUUUAAAAAAAUGAAAUUUUCCUUCGCAUCAAAAUAUUGUCAUUUUAAAUAAAAAAAAAAUUAAAUGCAACGGAGUCAUUCUGAUGCUUCACUUCACUACUAUUUGAUCGCUUUCCCUUGAUCCAAAUCUUUUAAGCAAAUCAUGGCUGGGAAGGCACCGAAAUCCUUUGACAGUGUGUCGUUAACGGUACUGCUACGCCGAGUAUUGUGUGUGAUCUCCUAGAUUUUUUGGUGACAGGAGGUCGUCUAAAUCUGGGUAAUGUAAGCGACAAGUCGCUUGUUAUUUUUUUUUCAAAGCAUUAAAAGUCACUCGCCCUUUAAGAAGUUCUUUUUCUAAACAAGGACAGACAGAAGCGGUAGCCAGAAGGUGGGAUUGGGUGCUUGAAAUUUCUUCGAACUUUACUGAUCUAUGAGUGUGAAAAUCUACAAAAGAUGCUUUCUUUGUUGUUCCAUUUUUUCAAAAGAUUACUACUUUUAUGAUGUCGUUUGAAUUGCGUAUGUGUUGAUGUAAAAUAAAUUUUAAAAAACAAAAAUAUUAUUUUAAUAUAUUUUUAAAUAAAAAAACUUUUUUAAAAAAUAAUUUUAGAUGUCACAUGUACUCAUUCAAUCAAAGUCCAAAUGACAGCUUGCGUUAGGCGCGCGCGUUGAUCUCAAAAUAUUUCUUUUUAAAUGCAUUGAAUAAUAAUCUCUCAAAACCCCCAAUUUUCCAAACUAUUAAAAUAUUUGUCUGUCCUUGAUUUCAAUAUUUUAUUUUUUCAUUAAACUCUUACAAAUGUUUUAUAUUAUUUUAUAUUUAAUUUUUAUUAAAUAAAUAAAAAUAAUCAUAUUAAAUUUUAUAAUCAAUUGGUCAACAAGACUCUAAUAACAUAUUAAAAAAUUAUCUUAAUCUAAUAAUUUAAACUAUUAAAUAAAAUAAAUAUAAUUUAUAUUAUUCUCUGCUAAUAAUUAACUCACUAUGUCACGGAAAAAAACAAUUGUUUGCUCUAUUAGGUCUUUGCAAAAGGUAUAGGGUUACCCAUAUUCUACGAAGUACGAACCCAUCCACAAACCAUUUUGAGUGAAAAAAUAAAAAAAUGCAGGUCCAAGCCGAAGUAGUGCACCGGCUAAGCUCCUUUAAUGAAAUGGCUGCAUUUAGUGCACUGGUAAAAGCACAUCAAUUCCACCGAAAAGAAAUUUUAAAAUUAAAAUAAAUUUCAAUGGUCAAAGAUAAGGCCUAAGGCUCCAUGCCAAAGACAAUAAUUCAAACACAUAUCAGAAAAUAAGGCAGUCUUUUUUUAAAUAUAUUAAAAUAAUAUUUUUAAAUACUGUUUCUUCUUUAUAUUUGCCAUUAAAAUAUUUAUAAAAUACUAAAAAUAUUGUUUUUAAUUUUUUUUCAAAAAAUAUUCAAAAUUUUGAAAAAUCAUGGUUCAAUUGCACUCCUCGACAGGGCUUAAAAAAUUUAUGCUUCUACUAUACAGUCUCAUAAUUUGUUUAUUACUUUUUUUUUUUAAAGUUAAUUCAAGUUUUUUUUAAUUGAUAUUUAUUCUUGAAAAGGACAUUAAAAUGAUCUAUAUAAAAACAUAAAAAUAGUUUAAGUAAUGAAAAAAAUUAAAAAAUUCAAAUUUUUUUAAUAAUACUUUUAAAAUAUAAAAACAAAUAAUCUCUAGAGUUGAUAUCCUCGUGUGGUUGGCCCAAAUAUAUGAUAGUGGUAGAGAUUUUCAGAUAGAAUUUGGAGCUGUAUAUGGUAAAAGCACAUCAAUUCCACCAAAAAAAACUUUUAAAAUUAAAAUAAAUUUCAAUGGUCAAAGAUAAGGGUACAUGCCAAAGACAAUAAUUCAAACACAUAUAGGAAAAUAAGGUAGUUUUUUAAAAAUAUAUAUUAAAAUAAUAUUUUUAAAUACUGUUUUUUCUUUAUAUUUGCCAUUAAAAUAUUUAUAAAAUAGUAAAAAUAUUGUUUUGAAUUUGAUGAUCUGUAGGUAUUUCACUCUUGCCUUUUGUCGUCUUGUCCGUCUUUGACUCAGAAAGCACUUCUAUUACAGCAUUCUACAGAUGAAAGAUACAAUUGAAAACUAGAAUCUGGACUCCACACUCUUCAGGUUAGCAAAUUACAGACCUAAUUUUUAAAUAUUUUAAUCUAAAAGAUAAAAUUAACAAAAAUAAAAUUUAAAAAAUCAUAAUAAAAAUUCCAAAAAAAACAAUGGUCUGCUCUGUAUUUUUUAAUUUUUGUUACUUCAAAAAGUUUAAUAACAUAAUUUUUCACCAAAACUAUUCUUUUUAAUAAUAUGAAAAAAAAAAUUAUAAAAAGUCAAGUGCAAUUAAAAAAACCCAUCAAAUCAAUAAACUUGAAUAAUUUGGGUUAUUUCGACUAACCCAUAAAUCAUGUUAACAUGGUAGAAAGAUAAAAUUAAAAAAAAAUUAUAAAGUUAAACUCUCAACCAUUUUAAUAUUAUAAAAUAAAAUGAACUAAAAUAAUUUAAAAAAAUUAUAAAAAUAAAAAUAUAUAUAAAAACUAUAUAUAUAAAAAAAAAUAUUAUAGCAAUCCGUGAUUUUGUAAUAAAAUUACUGUGAUUUUUCUAAUUCAUCUGUACAUAUUUAAUCCAGAUAUGAUUAAAAUAGAAACUAACUCGAUUUUUUGGCGACAGCAGGUCGCCUGAGUAAAUCUGGGCAGUGCAUAUUUUUUUCAAAGCAUUAAGGGUCGUCCGCCACUUAAGAAUAUGGUCAAAUAUGGGUGACUGUGUACAUUUACUUGUAUAAAAGCAAAGGGACCCACGCAGGUCCCUGUGUUUCAUCAUGUAGGCUGAACCUGUCAACACUUUAGAUGGAGGAUGCCUGCUGAUUAGUCAAUGAAGUCAAUUUGGACGCGUGGAUACUUUACGGUGGGGUCUUGUUUUGUGAAACUUUCGGCUUGAGAAAUACUGGGAAUGUGGAUUUUGCAUUUUAGUGAUUCCUCGGUGUGAAAUGUGGAAACUGUGGGUGGGGCGGCCAUGAUAUUAACAUAUAUCCCUGUUUUCCAAGCCACAAUUUCAAUUGAUAUCAAAUAUAAUGUAUCAAAUAAGUUAAUAAUGUAUUUAAUUUAUUAUAUAUUAUUUUCCCUCCUCAACUUCACAAUUGGGUACAUAAAUUAAGAUUAAGUAGAUAACACGUAAGUAGGGUGGGAUUAUAGCUUCUUGGUCAACUACUCAAAAACAAUUAAGGAUUAAAUCGAUCGCUAAUAUUAUGAAGAAAAGAAAAGAAAGAGAACAACCCAUUAAACAAGCAAUCCAUGGAGGAUGGAGCCAUUGUACAUUUUAAUUAAGAAGACUCAACGACUUCUCCUCUCCACUCAGAAAAGAAAGCGGAACUCCACUCUUAUCUCAAUCAUUUUUUUCCCUAUCAAACACUUCCUCCCCUCACUCAAAAAGAAAAUGGCCGAAGCUUUUGCAGCCGAUAUUGCAAAAUCCCUUCUAGGGAAGUUAGGCUCUUUCGCUGUUCAAGAAUUUCGUUUGGCAUGGGGACUUGAAGAUGACCUUGCACGUCUUGAAGAGAUAUUGAAAGCCAUCAACGCGGUGCUGUCCGAUGCUGAGCAGAAACAAUCAAAGAAUAACGGGAUUCGGCUCUGGCUCCAUAUGCUCAGAGAAGUCUUGUAUGAUGCAGAGGACGUGCUGGACGAAAUCGAGUGCGAAACUUUGCAAAGGAAGGUGGUGAAAACUAAAGGGAGCACCAGCAGAAAGGUACUCCACUUCUUUACAAGAUCUCCAUUCCGUUUAAUAAUAGGUCAUAAGAUAAAGAAGAUCAUAGAAAGACUAGGUGAGAUUUCAGCUCUUAAGUCUGACUUCAACCUCAGCGAGCAGGCUAUUGAUUGUAGUCAUGUCUUGCAUGAGGAAACAGAGAUGAACCGAUCCUUUGAGAGCUUUUCCGGUCUUAUUGGAAGAGAUAAAGACAAAGAACGCAUCAUCAACCUUUUAGCAGCACCUUCUAAGGUUGGUGAUGCACAUCCCGUUGUCCUUCCGAUAGUAGGAAUGGGAGGCUUGGGGAAGACAUCUCUUGCCAAAUCGGUGUGUGAUGCUGAAAAUGUAAAAAGUCAUUUUGAACUGAAGAUGGAGGUCUGUGUUUCAGAUGAUUUUUCCUUGAAACAAGUGAUACAAAAGAUUAUUAAAUCUGCAACUGGGGAAAGAUGUGCGGAUUUGGAUGAGGGUGAACUUAAUAAAAAACUUGAAGAAAUUGUGAAUGGUAGGAAAUACUUGCUUCUUUUGGAUGAUGUUUGGAAUGAAGAUGCUCAAAAAUGGUUGUUGUUGAAGCCUUUGUUAUCAAAAGGUGCUGAUGGAAGUAAGAUUAUAGUAACUACCCGUAGUCAACGUGUUGCUGAGAUUAUGGGUACUGUUCCUGCGGACAACCUAAGUCUUCUUGGUCAAGAGGACUGUCUGUCGUUGUUUUACAAGUGUGCAUUCAAGGAAGGGCAAAAGGAGUUGUAUCCAAAUUUGGUUGGAAUUGGGAAAGAAAUAGUGGAAAAAUGCAAGCAAGUUCCUCUGGCAGUGAUUAACUUGGGGACUCAACUGUAUGGUAAGACUGAUGAAAAAGAGUGGCAAUCGGUGAGAGACAGUGAGAAGUGGGAAGAAGAGGGAGAUGGCAUUUUAC